GACAUUUACAGACUUAUUGAAAGGAAAGUUAGGAGUUUCAUAGUUAGUAGUUAAGAACUCCACGUUUCUUAAUUGACUAGACUAAAUAUAUUUGUGUAAUUGUAUAAGUUACUCUUGCCUAGUAUGGAUUUGUUAUCUAAAUGUAAAUCAGAUAAAAUGUCCUAUGAAGGAUCGUCCAGCAAGAGGAAACAUAAAAAGGAGCACAAGCAUAAACACAAGAAACGUAGCAAUGAAAAGUCUGAAGUGGACAAAAGUAAAAAGCAUAAGAAACAUAAAAAACAUAAGCAUAAGCAGGAAGAAGUGGAAGAUAAUGAUAGAUACACACCCGAGGAGUUAGUUAAUCAGAACAACUCAAAAAUGAUAGUUGAAAAUGUUACGAAUGGAAAAGCGCUUAAAAGUGAUGCUAAAUCAGUGGCUGACAUCAUAACUGAUGGGUUAGGUGAAGCAAAAUUAUCAAUGGACGUAGUCUCUUCGGAAAGCGAUGAUGUUCCUGAAGCUGAUUGUGAUAGUGUUGAUAUUGACAUGAACGUCAUAGAAGCUGAUAUGGACCUGGAAGAAUUGAUGAAACAAAAAGAACUGCUUCAGGCACAACUAGCUAGUGCAGAUAGUGAAGGAGUCACCACACCUGCAGAGCCAGAAGUAAAACAUGACAAGCCUGAUGAAGUGAUAUUACUCGAUGACUCUGAUGAUUCUGAUCAUGUAUCCGCUGCCCCUGAAGUCAAAAAGCCACGCACUCAUGAACGUAAAGUACUCCUCCGUCCUACAGAGGACCCUAAGAGAAAACAGAUGUCUAGUAGAGAGAAGUCCCACAGAAGUAGGGAACGUGAGAGAGACAGACAUAACCGUGAGAUGGAAAGGCAGAGGAGUAGACAAGAGGCAGAUCGAAGAUCUAGAGAACGUUCAAGAUCUGGAAUAAAUGAUCGUCAUUACCAUGAUAGAUCUAGGCAAAGGUCUCCGGAUAGAGGAAGAGACCAAAGAAACAGAGACGUUAGAAGAGGCUACAGCGAUAGAGACAGACACAGGUCGACAAGGCACAGGUCUAGGGACAGGGAUCACAGAGAGCGAUUGAAAUCAAAAAAAGAAAAAGCUGACAAGUUCAAAGAUUCUCUAAGUGAAGGACAGAAUGCCAAAGUUAGUAGUAGUGAUAGCAGUGAUGUAGAGAUUCAGCUCGACUUGAGCGAGGAGGAAGAAGAUGAAGAAGCAAUUAUAGAAAGAAGAAGAAAGCAGAGGGAAGAAUUACUCAAGAGAUUGGGUGCAAACAAUCCUACAGUAUCCCAAAAUCAACCCCAGCCUGAACCAAUCUCUCCAACCAAAGUUGUUAUAGACGAAAAGCAAGACGUUAUCAUUGUUGAAGAGACAAAAUCAAUUCUAGAACCGCCCAAAGUUGAUGAAACUAAGAAGGCACACCAAGAAGAUCAGAAAAAAGAGAAUAAAGAAAUAAUCACAGAAAACGAAGAGUCUCUUACACCUCCUCUUUUACCUAAUAUGAAGACGAUGAAUAUUUCAAGUGAUAAGAGAAAUGACAAAGACAAGAGCAAAAAAUCUGAGUGGGAUAUGUUUGCUGAACAGGAUAUAUUCAAAGUCAAUACCAAAUCACCAAGCACGAUUACGACAAAGGGCACAGGUGCAGAAAAUCCUGCUCUCACUGAUAAUUGGGACGAUGCAGAAGGUUAUUACAGGGUUAGAAUCAGUGAAAUAUUAGAUUCGAGAUAUCUGGUAUACGGGUACACUGGUCAAGGAGUUUUCAGUAAUGUUAUCAGAGCUAGGGAUCAAGCGAGGGGAAAUCAGGACGUUGCCGUCAAAAUAAUUAGAAAUAAUGAGAUCAUGCAUAAAACUGGUCUCAAAGAGCUGGAGAUAUUGAAAAAACUGAACGACGCCGAUCCAGAAGAUAAACUCCAUUGCCUCAGAUUGAUUAGACACUUUUUUCACAAACAGCACUUGUGUAUGGUAUUCGAACCUUUGGCUAUGAAUUUAAGAGAAGUACUCAAGAAAUACGGAAAAGAUGUGGGGCUCCACAUAAAAGCUGUCAGAAGUUAUACUCAACAGUUGUUAUUGGCUCUGAAAUUAUUGAAAAAGUCCGGAAUUCUACAUGCAGAUAUCAAACCGGAUAACAUAUUAGUUAAUGAAAGCAAACAUCUGCUGAAACUGUGCGAUUUUGGAUCGGCCUCCAUAGUGAACGAAAACGAAAUAACUCCCUACUUGGUCUCGAGGUUUUACAGAGCUCCAGAAAUCAUAUUGGGCAUGACUUAUGAUUAUGCCAUCGAUAUGUGGUCUGCUGCAUGUACUAUUUAUGAAUUAUAUACCGGUAAAAUAAUGUUCUCAGGAAAAUCCAACAAUCAAAUGCUCAAAUUUUUCAUGGACGUGAAAGGAAAGUUCCCGAAUAAGGUCAUAAGGAAGGGAGCCUUCAAAGAUCAGCACUUUGAUGGCAAUUACAACUUUUUAUAUCAUGAGAUCGACAAGGUCACUGAGCGGGAGAAAGUUGUAGUUAUGUCUGUGGUGAAGGUAACCCGAGAGUUGCAAUCAGAGCUUAUAGCGGGACAAGCUUUGCCUCCAGACCAGCUACGAAAAGUCACCCAGCUCAAGGACCUCCUCGAGAAGGCUCUAUCGAUCGAUCCUGCCAAAAGGAUCAGCCUAAAUAAUGCAUUGACACAUCCUUUCAUCCAGGACAAAAUAUGAAAAUGGUUUAGAGAGAAUGGCGUUAAAGGAAUAUCGAGAGAGUCUUGAUGGGAAACCAGAUUAAAAAAUCCAAGUGAACAAAGAAAGUCACUCCAGAGAAAGAGUGGAUUGUGAUAAGUUAGAUUCGUGGAUCUCCGGAAUUUGUAAAAAAAAAGGAUAAGUAUCUCUCAUGUGAUGAACAACACUUCUAAUCGGUUUUUAUUAUAUUAUAGUGAUCUCGUCAGCCUGCGGUAAAGUUGGUUAUAACAUUCAAUGGGAAUCAAAGGUAAGUGCGAUAAAAUGGAGCUUUACCGUGGAGGUAUCAAUAUUGUGACUAGUUACCUUGUUUUUCACGAAUCCUGUAAGGAAAUUCUGGAGGGAUGUUAUGAUAUCGAUAACAAAAACCAGGAUUUGUCUUUAUUGUAAGCAAAAUAUAAUUGCAUAAUUUUGUAACGGUUGAAAUUUCUGAAUUCAGAAGAAUCAGUAGAGCCGCCCUGUAGGUUCGUUAUUUUAUCAGAAUAUUGCUGGGAUGGUGGCUUGUCUAUUAAGCAGGAGUAAAUAAAACCGAGGAGAUGGUCAGUAUUUAGAAACGAUUCAGAUCAGUAUCUAUCAUAAAGCCGACACGAAAGCAAGGCUCCAGCUAGGGACUGUCCGAAACCUAAAAACAUCUAAGGUCAGUCAAAUUAGUCAAUUCAAUAUUUUCAUUUCCUAUUCUUGAAAUAUUGUUAGAGAAUUCCAUGACACAUGUUUUCAGGUUUUUCGACAAGAAUAAUAAGAUCACCUGUGAAAGAUUCACGUCGAGAACUGUCUGACCAUGUAUUCAUUUUUUUGGGGUAAAAAAAAGCUUUCAAGGCAUAUUUAUCUGGUAAUUGGAGAAAUCCUUCGGAAAAGCUAUAGUUGCAUCAUACACGUCGUUCUUCGAGAUACGAGGAGACAUUCUAGAAAGUACCAACGGAGAACUAUAGCAAGUAUAAAAAAAAACAUCAAAAAUGAUGAUACCCCGUUAGUAGAAGCCCUGAUAUUGAUGAUAUAUUUUGGAGCGGUGUGAUAACUGAACUCUACAGUUCAUUCCUUAAAAAGUAGAGGAUAGUUUAAGUAUUUACCUUUUCUCUUUGCACCUAAGACAGCUGUUGAGCGGGGUUAUAAAUUAUUGAGUUCAAUUAUAGUUAAUCGAAAAGUAGGUUCUGGAUAGAUUAAGAUUCAGAUAGUUACUUUUCACAACUCAUUUGUUCCCUCACUUUCAAUUUAUGUAAUGAUCUAUCUGUCAGUUUACUACUUGAAUACUUGGAUUCAAUAUUGUUCCGUGAUAAGAGUUCCCCAGUGGUAAUUGAUCAGAACGGACUAUAGCAGCGUAUUAAUAUCUUUACUCGAAACAUUUGUUUAAGUAUUAAGUAUUGGUUCUUUUAACUUGAUACAUAUACAAUGUGACCCAUUUUUAAUGGAAACACCCCCCUAA